UACGUAGGGGGCAAGCGUUGUCCGGAUUUAUUGGGCGUAAAGAGCGUGUAGGCGGCCUGAAAGGUCAGCUGUGAAAACUCGAGGCUCAACCUCGAGACGUCGGUUGAAACCAUCUGGCUAGAGUCCGGAAGAGGAGUGUGGAAUUCCCGGUGUAGCGGCGAAAUGCGCAGAUAUCGGGAAGAACACCCGUGGCGAAGGCGGCUCUCUGGGACGGUACUGACGCUGAGACGCGAAAGCGUGGGGAGCGAACAGG
rnacentral:rRNA from 1 species